rnacentral:lncRNA from 1 species
CACAACCUUGUCUAGAAGACGAAAUAGACCUACGACAAAUAUAGAAAUUCCUUUGUUCAUCGAAUAGAGUCGCCCCUGUAUUUGUACGGCGUCUCACCUAAUAAAAUAUCCACAAUACACAAUAUUACUCACACAGAUCAGCGAACACAAUACCGAUACUCAUGCCAUCAAUCAACUAACCAUCCUUAAGAUGAUGCAUGUUUCAAGCACUCCUUAGGCGAGAGGUGAUGCAGAUGCACAAUACACUAACUAGCUCUAUCUUUUAAAAGUCUUUUCCACCUAAAAACUUUAUUUUAAAAAUCUAAUACAGCGAUAAAUCCAUAAAGUCAUUUUGAAAAUCAUUUCCUACACGGAAACUCAUUCUGUUGAAAUCCGACUA